UCGAAAGGACGGGAUCUACUCCACGCAACCAUAGAUGCCGUCUGACAAAAAGGAGGAUAAGCUUCCGUCGGCUCACGGUGCGGCAGUGUGGAGAUCUGCCGCAAGGCAGAAACCAGAUGGAUUCCGCGAGGAUCCUUCCAGCCGGAGGAUCCGGAGCUUCAAAAAAUGGCA
rnacentral:ncRNA from 1 species